GAUGAACGCUGGCGGCGUGCCUAAUACAUGCAAGUCGAGCGAACAGACGAGGAGCUUGCUCCUCUUACGUUAGCGGCGGACGGGUGAGUAACACGUGGAUAACCUACCUAUAAGACUGGGAUAACUUCGGGAAACCGGAGCUAAUACCGGAUAAUAUAUUGAACCGCAUGGUUCAAUAGUGAAAGACGGUUUUGCUUUCACUUAUAGAUGGAUCCGCGCCGCAUUAGCUAGUUGGUAAGGUAACGGCUUACCAAGGCAACGAUGCGUAGCCGACCUGAGAGGGUGAUCGGCCACACUGGAACUGAGACACGGUCCAGACUCCUACGGGAGGCAGCAGUAGGGAAUCUUGCGCAAUGGGCGAAAGCCUGACGGAGCAACGCCGCGUGAGUGAUGAAGGUCUUCGGAUCGUAAAACUCUGUUAUUAGGGAAGAACAAAUGUGUAAGUAACUAUGCACGUAUUGACGGUACCUAAUCAGAAAGCCACGGCUAACUACGUG
rnacentral:rRNA from 1 species